GGAAGUAAAAGUCGUAACAGGGUUUCCGUAGGUGGACCUGCGGAAGGAUCAUUAUUGUAUAACCGAGGUGCGAGGGCUGUCGCUGACCCGAAAGGUCGUGCACGCCCGAGUGCCCUCACACACAUCCAUCUCACCCCUAUGUGCACCACCGCGUGGGUCCCCCUUUGGCUUGUUCGGAGGGGGGCUUACGUUUUCACACAAACUUUGUAUGCAGUGUAGAAUGUAUUUUUUGUUUUUGCGAUCACGCAAUCAAUACAACUUUCAACAACGGAUCUCUUGGCUCUC
rnacentral:misc_RNA from 1 species